CAAACAUGUUUAUUUGUUUAUCUUUUGAUAUGCAUAUCUAUUUUUCACACUGAUGUUACAUUGCACUAAUUCAGUAACUAAUCCUUAAUUUCAGAUUUAACAGAGCUUAAGACUCAACGAGUGAAAAUAAUAUUCCAUUUAUUGAAACCUGUUGCAUGGAAUAUACAUACCAUGCGUUGGAGAUAUUCUAACUCGACAGUGUAGGGGAGGGAACGCGAGGUCACAGCCCGUGCCACGUAAACCUGGAUUCACGCUUUGCAAAAAUUUCCUGCAUUAUGCUCAGGCUGCAGCAACAAAUUAUGGCACACUAUCAUAUCAUGCACUUCAUGAAAGACAGGUGGCUGACGCUUAGACCUUUGCUGCUCGAGUGGCUGCGGCGGCCAGCAAGUGUCGAGUGGCAUCUGCUUCUUUCGGAGGCACUGCUUCUCCCAAGGGCCUCCUGCACUUCGACACGUUUGGGAACAAUAUCGACUGGGCUUAUGUGUGGCGGGGGGUUCUUA